CCCUUAGAUGUUCUGGGCUGCACGCGCGCUACACUGAAGCGUUCAACGAGUAUUCACCUUGCCCGGGAGGGUUGGGUAAUCUUUUGAAAACGCUUCGUGAUGGGGAUAGAUUAUUGCAAUUAUUAAUCUUCAACGAGGAAUUCCUAGUAAGCGCGAGUCAUCAGCUUGCGCUGACUACGUCCCUGCCCUUUGUACACACCGCCCGUCGCUACUACCGAUUGAAUGAUUUAGUGAGGACUUCGGACUGGGACCGAUGCGGCUUUCGGGCUGCGUCGGUAUUCUGGAAAGAUGUCCAAACUGUAUCAUUUAGAGGAAGUAAAAGUCGUAACA
rnacentral:rRNA from 1 species